GGAGACAAGCUGGCCGGCCCACCGACCCCGCGCUCGGCGGAUAGUGGGGCUGAGGGUGGAGGCCGCCCGCCCGCGAGGAAAGCGGCAGCACCGGGGAGGCGGCAGGGCGGGGCCCAGCUCGGCGGUUGGUGAUGGAGCCAGUGGCUGCCUUGCGUGGCUGAAGGGAAAGAGGAGGAGAAACUGAUUGGCACAAAUAGUUUAUAAGCCAAGAGGAGUCUGGCAAAGGUUUGUCAACCCCACUGAACCUGGUUACCUAUUAUUGAAAAUCACUGCUGUGAUAACGAACAGUACAGCAGAAAGGCUCAUCUCAACUUCGCAAAGAAGAUGAUCAGCGAAGGAAGAUGGACUUCCCCGGCAGGCAGCUGCGAGCCACUAUGGAUCUUCUUUUACAACGGGGGUAGGCAACCGCCAGCCUGUGGCCCAAUCUUGGCCCACCAGGCCAUUUCCCCUAAACCAUUCCCAUCAGCAGGCUUCAAGGUUCAAUGCACCACUGGCUACAUGCAUCUGAUGAGCAGAGAUUGGUGCUAGAGUGGCAUGAGAAUGAGAAC